AUUUAUUGCUAAAUACUAUAAUAACAUUUUGAGUAAAUAUUGCCCUCUCCUAGUUCAUGAGGGUUUUUUUUCUACUACCUACAGUAAAUGUCCUUAACAUAAAUGUUUCCUAAAUGUUUCAGACGAUGCUGCAAUAAAAUCGGAACUUAUAUCAAAGCUUUCAUCUUUAGCAGAAUGUGGGAUGCUUGACGUGUCACAAAUACAUCCUUAGAAGUUCAAAUGAAUUUCGGCUUACAUCAAUAAUUCGGGGGUCGACAUGAAUGAUUUUAUUUGUACAUCUGCAUAAAUAAUGAUCCAGUAAACUUCACACACACCUCACCACCAAUAUGGAUCUCCAAAACAGCUGGACGUGCUAAAUUCCCGCCCUCCACACACACACACAUACGCACACACACCUACACACACACGCACAAACACCCAGAUGCACCAAAGUGAUAAAGCCCAUUUGAUUUAUCAUAAUAUGCUUUAUCUGAAAACUAAGUAUCUUAUCUCCAGAUAAUAGAGAGGAAAGACGGAGCAAUCCGUUCAGUUGGGACGACGGCAGCACCGGGAUAACGGACGGGUCGCAGUGGAGAACGAACGGGAGGAACCGGAGAGAAAACCUGACGAGAAGAAAAGGAUGCGAGGAUGGGAGGAGAUGUGUACAAAGGAUUCAGGGUGAGGAAAUGAAACGGGACAGGAUAACGAACAGCUCAAGAGUGAGAAAAUAUGGCAUUCAUAUCCUAACAGCAAACGGGGAAGCAGUCGAGGGGACAGAGUGGAUUUAAUCCCUUCCCCCCAGGAAGCUGGACUCAAACGGACACAAUCAGGGUGAUGCGACCGAACGAUUCAGUUUUUCAGACCAAACUGAGGGGCUGAAAACGUCCAGAACCGGGCGGCACCAGGAGAGGAGGGAGAGAUGGAGGAAAAGCAGAGUAUGCCAGGUGCCACCCACAGCCUGCCAGUCCCCCCAGCUCCCCAUCCAGCCGCACCAGUCAGACCUACUGCAGCAACCAGCUUUUUAACUCAAGACAGACCUGAGAGUCACAGUGAGAUGAAGUGGAUGAUGAUGAUGAUGAUGAAUAUGUCCCAUUGCAUGUCUAAUCUGAUGAGUCAUCAGAAAUCUCCACAUGACCUGUAGAUUCCCCUCCAUCAAGUGAUCUGCUCCCACGAGGGGAGAAGCUGAAGCGGCAGCCGACACUGAAACGCCCGGCCCAGUCCACCUCAGAGACGGAGAGUUAUCCUCACUACAUCAGCCCAGUCCACCGAGCUGCCCAUUCAUUCUCAAUCAGAAAAGUUCUUCAGGAGCUUCUCCUGGUCAGAGCGUUAGCUGCCCUGAUCGUAUGGCGACCGCGCCGACACUGAGGCGGACGUUCUUCUUCAGACUGGCUGAGUUUUCCAAAGAACUCACAAUGCCAUUCCUGGGUCCAGAUGGAUCGCUCCGACACAGACGGCAGAUUGAAACCAGUCCAGGUUCCUCAGUGGUGCAUCUGUCCAAAUCAUUCCAGCUAGUAUUCCACGAACACCCAAUUCCACUAUCAAAAGGGUUUUUGGCUUUCACGUUUCUUCUUUCAUGUUUUUUGUCUAUGAAUAUGUGCUUCAUAGUCUGUAAAGGUUGGUAAAACCACUCACACCUGGUACAGUUGUUUAACUACGAACUGUGAUGGAUUCCUUGUAUGAACCAACGCACAAUAAACUUCUUCUGCGAGGUAUUCUUGUGUAUCAGUGUGUGUGUGCGUAAUGACUCAGGGGCUGCACCGUGAGGUGAGGUGUGUCAGUAUGGAGGAUGACUGAUUACAGUAGACAGUAAUCCUGCAGAUGGAUUAGCAGGUGGAAUUAGGAGAAGUGGGGGUGUAGCACACUGCCACCUUUGAACUGUAACAAUAUGGAGCAGCAGCGCACAGGGCCUGGCCUCCGUCUGCAUCACCCCCCGGCCACACAUGCACGAAGCGGGGUGACCCACGGCGUCGGAGGCCCCCAACCGGCACGGUACACGGGUUCUUAUGAUGACAUUACCCCAGGUCUCGACUGUCAGAAGGUGACGUGACGAGUCCGCCAAGCGAGUUCCCACCAUCGAGACUCGCAGACAAGAGAAAACGUGUCCAAUGGAGAGAACGGUCCUGAAGUGUGACGUCAGACUCUGUGUUUUAUUGAGAUUAACUGCUUUUUCACUUCCUCAUGUAUUUGUAACUCGGUUCAAUUCAAAAAAUACUUUAUUGAUAAGCCUGAGGAAUCAUCAGCUCAGGCUGAUGUUUUCAGUGAUUCUGAGGAAAAACAUCUGCUCUUAAAGCAACCCCAGAGCAAGGAGCUGCCACCCAGAACAUCCCGAAACAUUGGGACCUUACUCCAGUAGAGACACAACUCUACUUUCAA